ACCUGUUUAUAAGCCCGUCCCUCUCUGCCUUGUUGAGCUCCUCUCAAAGUGAAAAUAGAUACCCUUAUACACGGAAUUUGACCUAAAUUCACAGUAAAUUUCUUUGAAUUUCAUAGAAAUUUAUUAUGAAUUUAGGUUGAAUUUUCUCUAUAGGCGCAUCUAUGUUCAUUUUUUAUAGUAAAUAAAAUAAAUAAACCUUAAUAAAAUAAAUAAAAAUAAAUAAACCUUAAUGAAAUAAAAUAAAAUAAACUAUAGCAACUAAAAUAAAUAAACCUUAAUAAAUUAAAUAAAAAUAGCAGCAGUAAAAUAAAUAAAAAUAGC
rnacentral:lncRNA from 1 species